UCACUGGGCAAGGUAGACCUUGG
rnacentral:miRNA from 1 species